UACAGAGGUGGCAAGCGUUGUUCGGAAUUACUGGGCGUAAAGGGCGCGUAGGCGGUCCGAUAAGUCCCGUGUGAAAUCCCUCGGCUCAACUGAGGAAUGGCACGGGAAACUGACGGGCUUGAGUUCGGGAGAGGGAAGCGGAAUUCCGGGUGUAGCGGUGAAAUGCGUAGAGAUGUGGAGGAAUACCGAUGGCGAAGGCAGCCUCCUGGGCCAACACUGACGCUCAUGCACGAAAGCGUGGGGAGCAAACAGG
rnacentral:rRNA from 1 species